rnacentral:rRNA from 1 species
GACGAACGCUGGCGGCGUGCUUAACACAUGCAAGUCGAACGGUAAGGCCCUUCGGGGUACACGAGUGGCGAACGGGUGAGUAACACGUGGGUGAUCUGCCCUGCACUUCGGGAUAAGCCUGGGAAACUGGGUCUAAGACCGGAUAGGACUCCGGACUGCAUGGUCUGGGGUGGAAAGCUUUUGCGGGUUGGGAUGGGCCCGUGGCCUAUCAGCUUGUUGUUGGGGUGAUGGCCUACCAAGGCGACGACGGGUAGCCGGCCUGAGAGGGUGACCGGGCACACUGGGACUGGGAUACGGCCCAGACUCAUACGGGAGGCAGCAGUGGGGAAUAUUGCACAAUGGACGCAAGCCUGAUGCAGCGACGCCGCGUUAGGGAUGACGACCUUCGGGUUGUAAACCUCUUUCAGCAUCGACGAAGCGAAAGUGACGGUAGGUGCAGAAGAGGGACCGGCCAACUACGUGCCAGCCGCCGCCGUAA